CCUGGCUCAGGACGAACGCUGGCGGCGUGCUUAACACAUGCAAGUCGAACGAUGAUCCAGAGCUUGCUCUGGUGAUUAGUGGCGAACGGGUGAGUAACACGUGAGUAACCUGCCCUUGACUCUGGGAUAAGCGUUGGAAACGACGUCUAAUACCGGAUACGACCAGCCUCGGCAUCGGGUGCUGGUGGAAAGAAUUUUGGUCAAGGAUGGACUCGCGGCCUAUCAGGUAGUUGGUGAGGUAAUGGCUCACCAAGCCUACGACGGGUAGCCGGCCUGAGAGGGUGACCGGCCACACUGGGACUGAGACACGGCCCAGACUCCUACGGGAGGCAGCAGUGGGGAAUAUUGCACAAUGGGCGAAAGCCUGAUGCAGCAACGCCGCGUGAGGGACGACGGCCUUCGGGUUGUAAACCUCUUUUAGCAGGGAAGAAGCGAAAGUGACGGUACCUGCAGAAAAAGCACCGGCUAA
rnacentral:rRNA from 1 species